AUCGAUUCUUGAAGAGAAGUGCCGUUGCACGAUAUACACAGUGUGCAUGGCUGUCGUCAGCUCGUGUCGUGAGAUGUUGGGUUAAGUCCCGCAACGAGCGCAACCCUUGUUUUAGUUGCCUUUAUGGAACUCUAAAAAGACUGCUGGUUAUAAACCGGAGGAAGGUGGGGAUGACGUCAAGUCAGCAUGCCCCUUACACCCUGGGCUACACACGUGCUACAUUGGGCGAGACAAUGAGAUGCAAAUCUGCAAAGACUAGCUAAUCUAUAAACUCGUUCUAAGUUCGGAUUGUAGGCUGCAACUCGCCUANGUGAAGGUGGAAUCGCUAGUAAUCGCUGGU
rnacentral:rRNA from 1 species